rnacentral:rRNA from 1 species
CCUACGGGUGGCAGCAGUGAGGAAUAUUGGUCAAUGGACGCGAGUCUGAACCAGCCAAGUAGCGUGAAGGAAGACGGCCCUAUGAGUUGUAAACUGCUUUUGUAAAAGAAUAAACUCAGAUACGUGUGCCUUUUUGAAAGUAUCUUACGAAUAAGGAUCGGCUAACUCCGUGCCAGCAGCCGCGGUAAUACGGAGGAUUCGAGCGUUAUCCGGAUUUAUUGGGUUUAAAGGGCGCGUAGGCGGUCUGUUAAGUCAGAUGUGAAAGUCCGCGGCUCAACUGAGGAAUUGCAUCUGAUACUGGUAGUCUAGAGAGUAGUUGAGGUAGGCGGAAUGUGUGGUGUAGCGGUGAAAUGCUUAGAUAUCACGCAGAACACCGAUUGCGAAGGCAGCUUACCAAGCUACCUCUGACGUUGAGGCACGAAAGCGUGGGUAGCAAACAGGAUUAGAUACCCUGGUAGUC